AUUGAACGCUGGCGGUAGGCUUAACACAUGCAAGUCGUGCGAGAAGUAUCUUCGGAUAUGAGUAGAGCGGCGGACGGGUGAGUAACGCGUAGGAAUCUACCUAGUAGAAGGGGAUAGCCCGGGGAAACCCGGAUUAAUACCGUAUACCUCCUUUGGGAGAAAGAAGGCCUCUCUUUGAAGCUCUCGCUAUUUAGAUGAGCCUGCGUAAGAUUAGCUUGUUGGUGGGGUAAUGGCCCACCAAGGCGACGAUCUUUAGCUGGUCUGAGAGGAUGAUCAGUCACACUGGAACUGAGACACGGUCCAGACUCCUACGGGAGGCAGCAGUCGGGAAUAUUGGACAAUGGGGGAAACCCUGAUCCAGCCAUACCGCGUGUGUGAAGAAGGCCUUCGGGUUGUAAAGCACUUUAAGUAAGGAAGAAAAGAGUAUUGUUAAUACCAAUAAUCCGUGACAUUACUUACAGAAUAAGGACCGGCUAAUUCCGUG
rnacentral:rRNA from 1 species